GCCUUUCAAUUCUCUAUUUUCUACUAUCUAUUCUCAAGACCUUAAGUGACUUAAGCAUCGAAGGGUUCUAAACCAGAGAGUACCCCAAAGUUUUAGGACUUCGUUUGUAAGAUUCUUUGUGGUCUUCACCAACUCGACCCUUAGCGGCUUUCCAACUCGAUUCUUGGCCGACCUCGUUGUUUUUCCUUCGGAGUCUUGCAGC
rnacentral:lncRNA from 1 species